CGGUGGGCAGUCCUAACAAACAGAGGCUCCGCGCCUUUAGCUGUUGUUACCUUAUCAUCUUUCUCUGUCGUUCCAUCAUUCUCGUUUCUCUCCUUUCCAUAAUGGCACUAACCCACACCCUUCAUCCCAAACCCACCAUUUCUGUAGUCAUCAAACCCUUUCACUACUGCCCUUCUUCAAGUUCUUUGCCUCUAUACUCAAGAAAGUUUCAGAAUGGUGAAAUUUUCUUGGGCACCACUUUUUCAAGAAUUCAGACUUAUCACAAUCCACUACCAGCUUUGACCAGAAGACUAUUCUUGCCCUCGGUUUCUGGGCUCUGGGAUGCAUUAACAAGUGGUAACUCAGCUCGUGAUGCUGUAAUGGCAAUUCGAAAGGGAAUGCAACUUUUCAGACAGCGCGACGUGUUAGGGUCUGUGGUGGAGUUUGACAAGGCAAUUGAACUUGAUCCUCGCCAGAAAGCAUAUCUUUGGCAAAGAGGGUUGUCUCUAUAUUAUCUUGAUAGGUAUGAGGAGGGUGCGGAACAAUUCCGUUUAGAUGUUGCCCAGAACCCAAAUGACACAGAGGAGUCAAUAUGGUGCUUCCUCUGUGAAGCUCAACUGUAUGGAGUUGGCGAAGCAAGAAAAAGAUAUCUUGAGGUAGGUAGAGAUUCACGACCAGUCAUGCGAGAAGCUUAUAACAUGUUUAAAGAUGGUGGUGACCCAGAAAAGCUUGUUACUGCAUUUUCAAGUGGACAGCCAAAUGAAUAUUUCUAUGCUUCUCUGUACGCUGGGUUGUACUACGAAUCCCAGAAUGAGCCAGAUGCAGCUAAAGUUCAUUUAAUUGCUGCUUGUCAAUCGGCUUAUGGAUCAAGGUCUGAUGAUUACAUGGCUGCUCUUGCCAAGGUUCAUUGCAAAUGUAGAAACUGGAACCUCAACUAAGAGAAUACACUCAAGUGCAGUAUGGUAAAUUCGUUGUUCCAAAAUUUCUCACCAGAUUUGUUUGCACUGUUAAAGAGCAGAUGGAAAGAAGAGAAAGGCUCCGGAACAAAAAAGCGAAGAACACGUAUGGUUUCUCUCGUCUUUCAUGCACACUGGUGAAGAAAGAGAAGAAAGAAUUGGAGUGAAAUAUUGUUUUACAAGAAAGAAAUAGUAGAAGAGAAAGGGAAGUAUAACAACCAUCUUUACAUGACUGGACACAGCCACACAGGUAUAACUGAUGUAAAAUUAAAACUCCUGAUAAUAAGAGAAAGUGUUUGAAAUUAUGAGCUGUUAUGUAAAGUUUUUAUUUGAUUUGUUCCUGUUCAAAUUUUGGGUUUAAAAUGCAUUACUCAUCUAUCGCUUUCUCCUGUUGCUA